rnacentral:rRNA from 1 species
CCUACGGGAGGCAGCAGUGGGGAAUAUUGCACAAUGGGGGGAACCCUGAUGCAGCAACGCCGCGUGGGUGAAGAAGUAUUUCGGUAUGUAAAGCCCUAUCAGCAGGGAAGAAAAUGACGGUACCUGACCAAGAAGCCCCGGCUAACUACGUGCCAGCAGCCGCGGUAAUACGUAGGGGGCAAGCGUUAUCCGGAUUUACUGGGUGUAAAGGGAGCGUAGACGGCAGAGCAAGUCUGGAGUGAAAGCCCAUGGCUUAACCAUGGGACUGCUUUGGAAACUGUGUAGCUGGAGUGCAGGAGAGGUAAGCGGAAGUCCUAGUGUAGCGGUGAAAUGCGUAGAUAUUAGGAGGAACACCAGUGGCGAAGGCGGCUUACUGGACUGUAACUGACGUUGAGGCUCGAAAGCGUGGGGAGCAAACAGGAUUAGAUACCCUAGUAGUC